rnacentral:rRNA from 1 species
AUUGAACGCUGGCGGCAGGCCUAACACAUGCAAGUCGAGCGGACGAAGGGAGCUUUCUCCUGUCUUCCGCGGCGGACGGGUGAGUAAUGCCUAGGAAUCUGCCUGGUAGUGGGGGAUAACGUCCGGACACGGGCCCUAAUACCGCAUCCGUCCUGAGGGUGAAAGUCGUGGUUCUUCGGACCUCACGCUAUCAGAUGAGCCUAGGUCGGAUUAGCUAGUUGGUGGGGUAAAGGCCUACCGAGGCGACGAUCCGUAACUGGUCUGAGAGGAUGAUCAGUCACACUGGAACUGAGACACGGUCCAGACUCCUACGGGAGGCAGCAGUGGGGAAUAUUGGACAAUGGGCGAAAGCCUGAUCCAGCCAUGCCGCGUGUGUGAAGAAGGUCUUCGGAUUGUAAAGCACUUUAAGUUGGGAGGAAGGGCAGUAAGUUAAUACCUUGCUGUUUUGACGUUACCAACAGAAUAAGCACCGGCUAACUUCGUG